rnacentral:rRNA from 1 species
AGGACGAACGCUGGCGGCGUGCUUAACACAUGCAAGUCAAGGGGGCCCAGCAAUGGGCAACCGGCGAACGGGUGCGUAACACGUGAGCAACCUACCGAAAUGUGGGGGAUAGCCGGCCUAACGGCCGAGUAAUACCGCAUACGCUCUCGAUGAGGCAUUUCAUUGAGAGGAAACCUACGGGACAUUUCGAGGGGCUCGCGGCCUAUCAGCUAGUUGGAGAGGUAACGGCUCACCAAGGCAACGACGGGUAGCUGGU